rnacentral:rRNA from 1 species
GAUGAACGCUGGCGGCGUGCCUAAUACAUGCAAGUCGAGCGAACGGACGAGAUGUUUGUUUCUCUGAUGUUAGCGGCGGACGGGUGAGUCACACGUGGAUAACCUACCUAUAAGACUGGGAUAACUUCGGGAAACCGGAGCUCAUACCGUUUGAUAUUUUGAACCGCAUGGUUCAAUAGUAAAAGACGGUCUUGCGGUCACUUAUAGAUUGACCCACGCUGCAUUAGCGAGUUGGUAAGGUAACAGCAUACCAAGGCAACGAUGCAUAGCCGACAUGAGAGGGAGGUCGGCCAGACUGGAACGGAGACACGGUCCAGAGGCCUACGGGAGGCGGCAGUUGGGAAUCUUCCGCGAUGGGGUGGAGACUGACGGAGCAACGCCGCGGGGGCGAUGAAGGUCAUCGGGUCGUAAAACUCUGGUAUUAGGGAAGAAAAUGUGUGUAAGUAACUGUGCAAAUCAUGACGGUACCUAAUAAGAGAGCCACGGCUAACUUCGUG